rnacentral:rRNA from 1 species
CAGCCGCCGCGGUAAUACAGAGGGUGCGAGCGUUAAUCGGAUUUACUGGGCGUAAAGCGUGCGUAGGCGGCUUUUUAAGUCGGAUGUGAAAUCCCUGAGCUUAACUUAGGAAUUGCAUUCGAUACUGGGAAGCUAGAGUAUGGGAGAGGAUGGUAGAAUUCCAGGUGUAGCGGUGAAAUGCGUAGAGAUCUGGAGGAAUACCGAUGGCGAAGGCAGCCAUCUGGCCUAAUACUGACGCUGAGGUACGAAAGCAUGGGGAGCAAACAGGAUUAGAGACCCCAGUAGUCCCUGUCUCUUAUAC